AGAGGGGCAGACAUUGACCGAUUGCCUCCCUCACAUGCCUAGACUGGGAGCCAGGGAUCAAACCUGCAUCACAGGUACAUCCCCUUGUCCGGGAGUUGAACCCCAGAGCCUUUGAUGCACAGGCUGGCACUCUUAACCAUUGAGUACCACUGGCCAGAGCAAGGUAUGCACUUAAUUGCCUCUCCUUUAACCUGAGGGCUAUGUGACAGGUUAAUGCAGGCUUUUCCAAGAACCCCAAAUCUAAAGGGCCCUUAUCAGCAGAGGCGAUUCAGUACCACAGCCACCAGCUGAGAAACAUCCUAGGGUCAAGCUGAUGAGGCAACUCAAAUAUCACACAAAGUGCACCCCUUCCAGUUAGCCUUGGAGGCCCCUGAGAACACAGCUUGGUGGUUGCCAUCCCCAGUGCUCUCAGGACCCAAGCAGGUCUUGUGGGUGGAGGGCAGUGGAACUUUCCUGUGUUGGACAGCGGGGCUGGGCAGGAGGUGGGCAAGAUCCUCAGGUCUUCCCAGAGGAGUUGGAAAUGUGAAUUUUUUUGGGGAUCUCCCAUCUCUCAAACACCGGGACCAAUUCAGACUUUUUGAGGGCCAAAGCCAACAUGCCUGUUAGCCAAAAUCAGCUUGCAGGAACCUAGUUUGUGACCUCUGGUUUAAGGCAUGUUGAUAAAUGGAUUUAUUGGUAGUUCACUAAAUGGAAUCUGGGAUUUAUUUUAUUUUUGGGGGUAAGAUCAUAACUCACAAACGCAAGUUACUUAUUCAUCAUACUCAGUAGUUUGUUCACCUAGCAAAAUACAGGAAAUGUUGCUGUCUUGGGGCCCAUGGUGCUCGGUAGUGCCAUCUGCAGGUUGGUAAUAUUUGCUGUGAUGGAUGGGACUGUAGAAGUAUGUUCUUGAAUGAAUAGUUUUCGGUCCCUGUGUCCAGUUGUCUGAAAUUGCAAGGGAUUUCCUAAGUGAAGCAGUAGCAUGUAUGCACAGGGGCUACGAACUGAGGUCUACUCUCUGUGUUAUUCCAUUGAUAAGCCAACUUUUAGUCAAAGAAGUAGAAUCAUUGUGAGUGUGAUGGGAUUAAGGGAUUUACUGUAGAAAUUGGGUCUUCCUUAAAUAUGAGAGGGGCUGGGGAAUGAAGGUCUUACAGAGAGGGAAGAGGGGGAUGAGGAGUCAGAGGAUGAGAGGAUGUCUCCCUGGAAGCCACCAAAUAGGUACCAGAAGGGGAAGCACAGGAGAGGUAUGUUUCCACGUCUAGAGUCAGUAAUCAAGUGUCUAGCAGUGGGCUGGGGCUACUGUUGGUCAUCAGGGUCACUAAUUGUGAAGACAAGGGGUGAGAGCUAAGUAAGGCAAGGACAAGUGGAGACUCACUGGGCACUUUCCACUUGUCCAUUGACUUCCUUACAGUUACGGACUGGACUUCACUUCUACUUUUCCAUAUCUGACACAGCUCUUCAUAUGACCAGCUGUGACUGAUCCACAGGGGCAAGGGUCUUCUGUUAAACAGGAGUUCCCAGCCAACCGCGUUGACAGUAGUACCAUCAGUAUACCCAGUGAACAAGAUUGGCUGCAUCCGCUGGACUGUGCUACUGAGAAUUCCUGGAUUCUCUCCUCUGCCCUUAAAAGACUUCUUCCCACUCCGAAUCAUGGGACUGAAAUAACAGGGUUUGGGAAUCCUGCCUUGGCCAGGCUAAAAAUCACUGAGAGGCAAUUGUGCCCAGGAAGCAAACUGAAUUUAUAGGGUGCUUCAGAGAUUUCAAAAAGGACCGAUCUCAAAACUACAUGCUAACGUGUGAACUGAGUUCAUUUUACUUAAUUGUGGCUGUAAUGCAUGCUUUAUUCUUUCUCUGCCCGUGUUGAUGGCAGGAGUUUCUUCACAUUCUUUCUGUGUGGUGUGAGGGAGAAGAUGCUUGGCUUAUGAGCUGGGAAUGACUGUUUAAAUAACAUGAAGCAACACAGAACAUUCUCCCAUCAAAUUUGUAGAGUAGCAUAAUCUUCCCUCCUCUUUACACGCUUCAGAAUUCAUGGAAAUGUUAUCUAUGAAUGCUGUAGAGCCUCUGGGCUAAGGAUGGUUUUCACAUUUUGUAAUGGUUAAAAAAAAAUAGAGAAGACUGUUUAUUCAUGUGAAAAUGAUAGGAAAUUCAAAUGUCAGUGUCCAUCAAUAAAGUUGUAUUAGAACCCAGCCGCAUUCAUUCAUUUACUUCUUAUCUCUGGCUGAUCUCCCCGCACAGUGGCAGAGUUGAGUCAUUGCAAUAGACCCUGACUGUCCACAAAGCUUGGAAUGUCUCCUCUCUGGUUCCUAACCAAAAAGUUUGCUUCCCCCAGGUGGGAGGCAGGCCGAGACUUGCAAACUAUCAGUAAGCGAAAGAGUGAUUUCCUCAAAGGUGCAAGGAUUACAGGUUGUUCUACUUCAGGGCAAAGUGGUGAGGACAAAAAUGUAAUAACAUAAGACAUACUAUAUCUAAUACUUUCUAUAGGUAUACCAUCGAUGUAUGCCUAAAGUGGGAUAAUCUGAAAUAAUAACAGAAAAUGCCCUUUUCAAGCCCUGACCGUCACUGAAGAACUAGGAGCUCCCUUCACACUCCCAGCCCCCUCCUUCCUUCAUUCAGUGUCUGUCAUUCCCUCCCAGGGCUAGUGUGUUCAGCCCCGAGGGUUUCACCUUGAGGUGAGUAAGUAGGCAGCAUUGGUCUUGACCUUGAAUGAAAAGCACAACCAGGCGGACGGCGGUAGGUGGACCUUGGGAGGAACUGCUGGGCGAGAGAAACCUGGAGCACUGACCUGUGGUGGCGGGUUUCACACGUGACACUGAGCUCUGUGCACACAGCGAGGGGGUCCUGCCAUCACGUGGCCAGCUCCCCCUGCAGGGCUGUGUUUUUUCCCCUCACACACCUCUGGUCCAGCCCACGUGGGUGCUUAAUAAACUGCCAGCCCAGUGGCCAAAAAGAAAUACAAAGCUUCCCGUGAAGAUGAAGGCUCUCUGGCAAGGUCUCCCUCUGUCUCUUAGCGAGCACGGCAAACAGAGAACUCCCUUCUUUUGGACAUGAGUUACACAUAUUUCCCCCCUCUUUUAUUACCUUCAAAGCUGGCAGCCUCAUAAGAGCAGCAUUCAAAUAGGCUGCGAGAGGGACGAGGCGCCCUGAAUAGGGUGUUUCUUGUCCUCCUGGCCCCCUCUCUUUGGGCUGUCCCCGCACGGUGUAUUGUUCACCACCUUGCGAGGUCGGAACUUUGCCAGUAACUGGAUUCUGGACCUUGUGGGUCCCUCUCUGAAUCUGCUGCUUGUCCAGUGAAAUGAGUUAAUCUCAUCUGUUUGCAGAAUAAGUCUAAUCAACCUGUUUUAGACUCAUUUAGAUUAUUCGUCUAUAUGGUCACUCACCUAAGCAAAUGGGGUGGUCAUGCUGGUGCUGUGUACUCAUUACAGUUUGGGCUUUAAUGUGAGAUUUGCCUGCAUUGAUGAAUGAUGUGCCUAGUUGGCCUUUUAUGUUUCUUAAAGUUUUUGUUGUUGUUGUUGUUGUUGUUGUUGUUUUUUAAAGCUCUACUUUCUUACCUUUCUCCUUUUAAAAAAUAUUUUCACAUGACCUUCCAGCCUGAAGCAGUUGACUGUAAAGUGGUGGGGGUGUCAUUUGAACCUUUUAUAGCUUGUAUUUAAAAAAAAUAUAUUUUGGAAGAGUGGAUAACAGCUUUAGUUCUUCUUAUUGGCUUAUGAUCGUCUGGAAUUAUUUUAUAGAUUGUGUUCAGCUGCCAGCACGGUGCUCGGCGAGAUUAAUUUGUGCAGCUUUCCAUUGGCUGAAUAGUAUUCAUUCUUCGGAUUCUUGUUCAGAAGGGAUUAGCCAAGUGAACUGGAAAACGUGCCUUUGCGGCCGAGUUUUCUCUGGUUGCGCUAAUCAAUGAACAAUCUGGUGCUUGAUUUAAUUCAGCUCUUACGGAACAAGCUGACUCAUUGGCUCUUCAUGCUUCUUAACUUCUCCUGUAGUGUUUUCAUCUUCCAUUUUUUGCACAUACGCCCCCAUCAUAGUGGACAACACCGUUCGGAACCAAACAUUCCCCCGGGGACCUCGCUCGGGUACUCAGCAUGCAUACCUUAUGAAAUGAGAUUCAAGGAAGUUGUUGUUCUGGGUGGUCUGUGUUUGCUGCCUUUCUUCUAAGGGGAAACAUUGCUUAUUGCUUGAAAAGAAAAAAACAAA